AUAAUCUCCUCCGUUUUUGCUCCCUAAAAUCCCCAAUUUUUGCGUCGCCGAGCUGCGCAAAUUUCUCGCCGGAGUUCGCGCCGCCGCCGCCAUCGCUGAGCUUCGAAGAACACUAAGAAGCCGGGAAAUUGUCGCCGGAGCUUUCGCCGGAAUUCACCAUCGCCCGGAGCCCCAUCCGUCCGUAGCUGUCACUCGAGAGAGAGGAACACGACGGGAGAGGCAUUACGGUGACCGCUGUUGUCCGCUGCAUCUCGUCGUCCGAGUCUCCAUUGCGAAGAACCAUCAGAGACGCAGGGGACGACGUCGCCAUCCACGCUCGACCACCACGCCGUCUGAUUCAUCCUAAUCGACCAUCACCAGCAGGAUUGCCCGGAUUGCAACGAGUGCGAUUGCGACGACUGUCUGAACACCGACCAAG